rnacentral:lncRNA from 1 species
GCCCCCUGCUACCAAAACCUUGCCACAUAAACCCACUACAGCUGUAUGUCCCAGACAGUUGCCUAGACACUUCCACGCACAAAAGUGUGGUUUACCCUAAAACCUGGUUGAUCUCUGAGAGCUCCUUUCAGCAAGCCACAGACACCUCUUGCAAGCCUGCAAAAGCCUCCUACUUGUUUUCUGAGGCACAAUGCAACUCGUUCUGUUAAAAGAAAAAAGAGGAUAUGUGGAGACUGCUUGGCCAGAGUCCACCAAAAGGGACCUGACCCCACGGACAGGAGCUGACAGCACAGUGCUUCAAAAGCCAGCAGCUCCUGAGAUCUGUUUUGCCCACUGCCUCCAGCGUCCUGUCUCUGCAGUGACGAAGGAUGUGGUCGCCCCUUCUGCAUCUUCCCUCAUACACCUGGAGAUCAUCAGCACCUUAUUAUACACGUAUCUGGGCAGCACAUCUUGAAGAGUCGCAGUCUUUGAUGGGAAACUGUCCUCCUGUCUGUUAUGAAGCUGGGGGGACACUUUAUACCCCAAGUGCUGCAUUUUAGCAUGUUAUUAAUAUUUGUGAACAUACUGAAGUCAAAGUAAAAGCAGGAAGCAGUAAAGCUCUAUCACUUUUUCCAGCUCAUUUUGUCAGAAAUAUUUUUAGCAGUUUGGCACACGAUGUUAAUAUCACAGGACUUGGCUAAUCCAUUUGCAUAAACAGGCAGCUUGACUCAUUAUAAAUCAAUUAAGCCAGUACAGCCCCACUGACACAAAGGUCCACAUUACACUGCCUUUGCACAUUUUUGUUGUG